rnacentral:rRNA from 1 species
CCUACGGGUGGCAGCAGUGGGGAAUAUUGCACAAUGGGGGAAACACUGAUGCAGCAACGCAGCGUGAGUGAUGACGUAUUUCGGUAUGUUAAGCUCUUUCUGUAGGGAAGAAGAUGACGGUACCUGUAUUGGAAGCCACGGAUAACUACGUGCAGGACGCCGCGGUAAUACGUAGGGGGCCGGCGUUAUCCGGAUUUACUGGGCGUAAAGGGAGCGCAGACGGCAUGGCAGGUCUGGAGUGAAAGGCCGGGGCCCAACCCCGGAACUGCGCUGGAAACUGUGCGGCUAGAGUACUGGAAGGGCAGGCGGAAUUCGUAGUGUAGCGGUGAAAUGCGUAGAUAUUAGGAGGAACACCAGUUGCGAAGGCAGCCUGCGGGACAGUAACUGACGUUGAGGCUCGAAGGCGUGGGGAGCAAACAGGAUUAGAUACCCUUGUAGUC